rnacentral:lncRNA from 1 species
AAGGCUUCGUCACGCAAAGUCCCUUCAAUUUUUGGGUCAAAGCAUUCAGUGCAUGUGAAUCAAAGGAAUGACGAAGUUUUUUCCUCGGAAACCUUGCGCGACAAAGGCUUCAUCGCGAAAACCUUGCGCAACAAAGGCUUCAUCGCGCAAAGUCCCUUCAGUUUUUGGGUCAAAGUAUUCAGUGCAUGUGAAUCAAAUGAAUCAAUACCGUAUUUAGUGCAGAUGUUUGCACGACAAAGACUUCGUCGUGCAAGGUUCCAAACCUUCCUAUAAGUUUGCGCUUCUGCUCUCCUUAUUAUUCACGAUUCGUUUCGGAAACACUUUACUAUUUUGCAGAUUAUAAUCAAUUUGUUCUUUUGAUUCUUGGUAAAAUGGUCGACUGUGGUGCGUGUUCAUCAAAGACAAUUAAUGGAGAAGGUUCGGGAAAAUGUUUGCGUUGUAAAUUUUGCAUUUUAUAUCAAGUUUAUAUUUAGCUUGAGUAUUAUGAAUAUAUAGUUUGUUGAUAGACAAGAAGAGUCCGACACUUUUGGUGGGAGCUGCUACCGAAUCACUUCUGAUGAAUUAAUAGGGGCUGUGAAGUCAGAUAUGUGCAUCAGGUUUUUGUCCGAUGUUGGAGUAUUAGUGCACGACAAAUGUGGUGUGGAUUGGGAGACUUGGAGAGCCACCCCUGAGGAGAUGAAGAUGCACUUCAUCAAUGAGCCAGCUGCGUGUGCUAAGUUAUUAGUUAAAUAAUAAUUAUGCUUGUUAAAUUUAAUAUAAUAGUGAUAUUUUAAUUUAUUAAUUUUCGCAUGAUAGCCUAAUUGGGACAUGGACAAAAGUAACCCAAAUCUGAUGAUGUGCAUCGACAACAU